GUCAGUGUGGUGUAGUGGUUUGAGCACCGGACUAUGACUCCGGAGAGCAAGGUUUGAAUCCCAGCUGAGCCA